rnacentral:rRNA from 1 species
GACGAACGCUGGCGGCGUGCUUAACACAUGCAAGUCGAACGGAAAGGCCCUGCUUUUGUGGGGUGCUCGAGUGGCGAACGGGUGGGUAACACGUGAGUAACCUGCCCUUGACUUUGGGAUAACUUCAGGAAACUGGGGCUAAUACCGGAUAGGAGCUCCUGCUGCAUGGUGGGGGUUGGAAAGUUUCGGCGGUUGGGGAUGGACUCGCGGCUUAUCAGCUUGUUGGUGGGGUAGUGGCUUACCAAGGCUUUGACGGGUAGCCGGCCUGAGAGGGUGACCGGCCACAUUGGGACUGAGAUACGGCCCAGACUCCUACGGGAGGCAGCAGUGGGGAAUAUUGCACAAUGGGCGGAAGCCUGAUGCAGCAACGCCGCGUGCGGGAUGACGGCCUUCGGGUUGUAAACCGCUUUCGCCUGUGACGAAGCGUGAGUGACGGUAAUGGGUAAAGAAGCACCGGCUAACUACGUGCCAGCAGCCGCGGUGAUACGUAGGGUGCGAGCGUUGUCCGGAUUUAUUGGGCGUAAAGGGCUCGUAGGUGGUUGAUCGCGUCGGAAGUGUAAUCUUGGGGCUUAACCCUGAGCGUGCUUUCGAUACGGGUUGACUUGAGGAAGGUAGGGGAGAAUGGAAUUCCUGGUGGAGCGGUGGAAUGCGCAGAUAUCAGGAGGAACACCAGUGGCGAAGGCGGUUCUCUGGGCCUUUCCUGACGCUGAGGAGCGAAAGCGUGGGGAGCGAACAGGCUUAGAUACCCUGGUAGUCCACGCUGUAAACGGUGGGUACUAGGUGUGGGGUCCAUUCCACGGGUUCCGUGCCGUAGCUAACGCUUUAAGUACCCCGCCUGGGGAGUACGGCCGCAAGGCUAAAACUCAAAGGAAUUGACGGGGCCCCGCACAAGCGGCGGAGCAUGCGGAUUAAUUCGAUGCAACGCGUAGAACCUUACCUGGGUUUGACAUGGAUCGGGAGUGCUCAGAGAUGGGUGUGCCUCUUUUGGGGUCGGUUCACAGGUGGUGCAUGGCUGUCGUCAGCUCGUGUCGUGAGAUGUUGGGUUAAGUCCCGCAACGAGCGCAACCCUUGUUCACUGUUGCCAGCACGUUAUGGUGGGGACUCAGUGGAGACCGCCGGGGUCAACUCGGAGGAAGGUGGGGAUGACGUCAAGUCAUCAUGCCCCUUAUGUCCAGGGCUUCACGCAUGCUACAAUGGCUGGUACAGAGAGUGGCGAGCCUGUGAGGGUGAGCGAAUCUCGGAAAGCCGGUCUCAGUUCGGAUUGGGGUCUGCAACUCGACCUCAUGAAGUCGGAGUCGCUAGUAAUCGCAGAUCAGCAACGCUGCGGUGAGUACGUUCCCGGGGCU